rnacentral:rRNA from 1 species
GGUUAAGCGACUAAGCGUACACGGUGGAUGCCCUGGCAGUCAGAGGCGAUGAAGGACGUGCUAAUCUGCGAUAAGCGUCGGUAAGGUGAUAUGAACCGUUAUAACCGGCGAUUUCCGAAUGGGGAAACCCAGUGUGAUUCGACACACUAUCAUUAACUGAAUCCAUAGGUUAAUGAGGCGAACCGGGGGAACUGAAACAUCUAAGUACCCCGAGGAAAAGAAAUCAACCGAGAUUCCCCCAGUAGCGGCGAGCGAACGGGGAGCAGCCCAGAGCCUGAAUCAGUGUGUGUGUUAGUGGAAGCGUCUGGAAAGGCGCGCGAUACAGGGUGACAGCCCCGUACACAAAAAUGCACAUGCUGUGAGCUCGAUGAGUAGGGCGGGACACGUGGUAUCCUGUCUGAAUAUGGGGGGACCAUCCUCCAAGGCUAAAUACUCCUGACUGACCGAUAGUGAACCAGUACCGUGAGGGAAAGGCGAAAAGAACCCCGGCGAGGGGAGUGAAAAAGAACCUGAAACCGUGUACGUACAAGCAGUGGGAGCACGCUUAGGCGUGUGACUGCGUACCUUUUGUAUAAUGGGUCAGCGACUUAUAUUCUGUAGCAAGGUUAACCGAAUAGGGGAGCCGAAGGGAAACCGAGUCUUAACUGGGCGUUAAGUUGCAGGGUAUAGACCCGAAACCCGGUGAUCUAGCCAUGGGCAGGUUGAAGGUUGGGUAACACUAACUGGAGGACCGAACCGACUAAUGUUGAAAAAUUAGCGGAUGACUUGUGGCUGGGGGUGAAAGGCCAAUCAAACCGGGAGAUAGCUGGUUCUCCCCGAAAGCUAUUUAGGUAGCGCCUCGUGAAUUCAUCUCCGGGGGUAGAGCACUGUUUCGGCAAGGGGGUCAUCCCGACUUACCAACCCGAUGCAAACUGCGAAUACCGGAGAAUGUUAUCACGGGAGACACACGGCGGGUGCUAACGUCCGUCGUGAAGAGGGAAACAACCCAGACCGCCAGCUAAGGUCCCAAAGUCAUGGUUAAGUGGGAAACGAUGUGGGAAGGCCCAGACAGCCAGGAUGUUGGCUUAGAAGCAGCCAUCAUUUAAAGAAAGCGUAAUAGCUCACUGGUCGAGUCGGCCUGCGCGGAAGAUGUAACGGGGCUAAACCAUGCACCGAAGCUGCGGCAGCGACACUAUGUGUUGUUGGGUAGGGGAGCGUUCUGUAAGCCUGUGAAGGUGUACUGUGAGGUAUGCUGGAGGUAUCAGAAGUGCGAAUGCUGACAUAAGUAACGAUAAAGCGGGUGAAAAGCCCGCUCGCCGGAAGACCAAGGGUUCCUGUCCAACGUUAAUCGGGGCAGGGUGAGUCGACCCCUAAGGCGAGGCCGAAAGGCGUAGUCGAUGGGAAACAGGUUAAUAUUCCUGUACUUGGUGUUACUGCGAAGGGGGGACGGAGAAGGCUAUGUUGGCCGGGCGACGGUUGUCCCGGUUUAAGCGUGUAGGCUGGUUUUCCAGGCAAAUCCGGAAAAUCAAGGCUGAGGCGUGAUGACGAGGCACUACGGUGCUGAAGCAACAAAUGCCCUGCUUCCAGGAAAAGCCUCUAAGCAUCAGGUAACAUCAAAUCGUACCCCAAACCGACACAGGUGGUCAGGUAGAGAAUACCAAGGCGCUUGAGAGAACUCGGGUGAAGGAACUAGGCAAAAUGGUGCCGUAACUUCGGGAGAAGGCACGCUGAUAUGUAGGUGAAGCGACUUGCUCGUGGAGCUGAAAUCAGUCGAAGAUACCAGCUGGCUGCAACUGUUUAUUAAAAACACAGCACUGUGCAAACACGAAAGUGGACGUAUACGGUGUGACGCCUGCCCGGUGCCGGAAGGUUAAUUGAUGGGGUCAGCGCAAGCGAAGCUCUUGAUCGAAGCCCCGGUAAACGGCGGCCGUAACUAUAACGGUCCUAAGGUAGCGAAAUUCCUUGUCGGGUAAGUUCCGACCUGCACGAAUGGCGUAAUGAUGGCCAGGCUGUCUCCACCCGAGACUCAGUGAAAUUGAACUCGCUGUGAAGAUGCAGUGUACCCGCGGCAAGACGGAAAGACCCCGUGAACCUUUACUAUAGCUUGACACUGAACAUUGAGCCUUGAUGUGUAGGAUAGGUGGGAGGCUUUGAAGUGUGGACGCCAGUCUGCAUGGAGCCGACCUUGAAAUACCACCCUUUAAUGUUUGAUGUUCUAACGUUGACCCGUGAUCCGGGUUGCGGACAGUGUCUGGUGGGUAGUUUGACUGGGGCGGUCUCCUCCUAAAGAGUAACGGAGGAGCACGAAGGUUGGCUAAUCCUGGUCGGACAUCAGGAGGUUAGUGCAAUGGCAUAAGCCAGCUUGACUGCGAGCGUGACGGCGCGAGCAGGUGCGAAAGCAGGUCAUAGUGAUCCGGUGGUUCUGAAUGGAAGGGCCAUCGCUCAACGGAUAAAAGGUACUCCGGGGAUAACAGGCUGAUACCGCCCAAGAGUUCAUAUCGACGGCGGUGUUUGGCACCUCGAUGUCGGCUCAUCACAUCCUGGGGCUGAAGUAGGUCCCAAGGGUAUGGCUGUUCGCCAUUUAAAGUGGUACGCGAGCUGGGUUUAGAACGUCGUGAGACAGUUCGGUCCCUAUCUGCCGUGGGCGCUGGAGAACUGAGGGGGGCUGCUCCUAGUACGAGAGGACCGGAGUGGACGCAUCACUGGUGUUCGGGUUGUCAUGCCAAUGGCACUGCCCGGUAGCUAAAUGCGGAAGAGAUAAGUGCUGAAAGCAUCUAAGCACGAAACUUGCCCCGAGAUGAGUUCUCCCUGACUCCUUGAGAGUCCUGAAGGAACGUUGAAGACGACGACGUUGAUAGGCCGGGUGUGUAAGCGCAGCGAUGCGUUGAGCUAACCGGUACUAAUGAACCGUGAGGCUUAACCUU